GUUCUGUUUACUGUAGGUCCUGUUCCAGUUGGCCCAUUUACUGUAGGUCCUGUAUCCAGUUGGGUCCAGUUCCAGUUGCGUCCAGUUAACUGUAGGU